AUUCUUAAAUUAAGGAUUAUUUAUCCCAUUAAGUAUUUGAAUACAUAAAUUACACGGUUAUACUAUUGAAGAAAUAUAUAGUCUACGAAUAUUCUUAUAUAAAUAUUCCUGAUACAAAUGCUUAUAGAAUGUAUCAUUGUAUAUCAGUUGCAAGGAAUUUGGAAGAACAUCUUUAUUAUACCAGUAUUUAGAAUUUGACAGAAUUACGGGGAAGUUUUAUCAACAUCGCUAUAAAGGGAAUUGCAUCUGAGAGGAGGAGAAUGUAAUUUAUUGUUAAUGGCAUAUGAAAGGAUCGAAUGUGACAGAAGAAAUUUUUAAAUCGUCCGAUUGGCAGGCGGCCGGUGUGUUAUCUGAAACCGCACUCUAGUCCCUGACAGAUAUAUAGAGCGAGGACAAAGUUCGAGAUGCACGUGGCCAUCAAAAGAGCACGUUUUUCUCCUCGACAUAUGCGCUCGGAGAUCAUUUGAUUUAAAAAAUUUACAAGAAAUAAAGUAAUUUAUAAAAGUAAAUAAAUCACAAAUAUGCGAGUAUAAUUUGUGUAAU